AUUGAACGCUGGCGGCAGGCCUAACACAUGCAAGUCGAGCGAGCGGCGGACGGGUGAGUAAUGUCUGGGAAACUGCCUGAUAGAGGGGGAUAACUACUGGAAAAGGUAGCUAAUACCGCAUACCAUCAGAUGUGCCCAGAGGGGAUUAGCUAGUAGGUGGGGGAAUGGCGCACCUAGGCGACGAUCCCUAGCUGGUCUGAGAGGAUGACCAGCCACACUGGAACGGAGACACGGCCCAGACUCCUACGGGAGGCAGCAGUGGGGAAUAUUGCACAAUGGGCGCAAGCCUGAUGCAGCCAUGCCGCGUGUGUGAAGAAGGCCUUCGGGUUGUAAAGCACUUUCAGCGGGGAGGCGUUACCCGCAGAAGAAGCACCGGCUAACUCCGUGCCAGCAGCCGCGGUAAUUC
rnacentral:rRNA from 1 species